rnacentral:rRNA from 1 species
GAUGGACCGGAGUGGCCCGUCCCCUUUCCGGAGAUGAGUGCCGCUUUGAGUCUGUCAUCCUUCCAGGUAGCUGCGACUGCCGUUUAUUCGGUUGGCCGUAUGCGAUCUGGAUCUAUUACUUUGAAAAAAUUAGAGUGUUUAAAGCAGGCUUAUGCUUCUGAAUACAUUAGCAUGGAAUAAUAAUUUAGGACUUCGGUUCUAUUUUGUUGGUUUCUAGGACUGAAGUA